CCUACGGGUGGCAGCAGUGGGGAAUAUUGCACAAUGGGCGCAAGCCUGAUGCAGCCAUGCCGCGUGUGUGAAGAAGGCCUUCGGGUUGUAAAGCACUUUCAGCGGGGAGGAAGGCGUUAAGGUUAAUAACCUUGUCGAUUGACGUUACCCGCAGAAGAAGCACCGGCUAACUCCGUGCCAGCGGCCGCGGUAAUACGGAGGGCGCAAGCGUUAAUCGGAAUUACUGGGCGUAAAGCGCACGCAGGCGGUCUGUCAAGUCGGAUGUGAAAUCCCCGGGCUCAACCUGGGAACUGCAUUCGAAACUGGCAGGCUAGAGUCUUGUAGAGGGGGGUAGAAUUCCAGGUGUAGCGGUGAAAUGCGUAGAGAUCUGGAGGAAUACCGGUGGCGAAGGCGGCCCCCUGGACAAAGACUGACGCUCAGGUGCGAAAGCGUGGGGAGCAAACAGGAUUAGAUACCCCAGUAGUC
rnacentral:rRNA from 1 species